UGUGGAAUCAGUGGUGAGUUAGGGAGUUUUAAUUUAUCUAUGAGCCGACCACUGUUUUUCCUCCUGAAUAGCAUCUUUCCAUUUAUAAUGAAUGGACGAGACCUCCUGCCAUUGUCCUCUCCACGUUCCUUGAACAAUUCCUCCGUUGGGAAUAGAUUUAUUUAACCCAGAUUUUCCUGUUGCGUCUUCAUUGUUUGUCCUUCCUGACAUAUUAGCCCUCUCUGAGUUGAUGAUUCACCCGGCUUUCCAGUGCCACCAGGUUCACGUCCUCACCAAUGUGAUGUUUCAAUACUUAACCCAUGGGUGAGCUAAAAUAUCAUCACCACACACCCUCCUCAAUUACAAGUCACCACCACUGGAACCUUAAUGUACUUGACACAGCUUAAUGUUUGUACAACAGCUUUGAAUGGUCUCAGUUUUACCAUAACUUUGAUUCAUGUGUUUCCAGGUGGUGCAGCAUGAGCUGAUUUUGCAGCCUCUUGUUACUUCAGCAGUGCUUACCAUCUUGUUUGCGGUAAUCAGACAGUAGUGACAUGAAAAUGAAAUGGAUUGGAAACAGUGUAGAAGGAGAGACUCUCUGGUUUCUGUCUCUUUAAGAUCUUGAUAGCUUCUCCACUGCUCCCUUGAGGUCAUUGGCCUUCCUUGGGCCGCCUGCCAACUGCCAUGUUACUGUCAAGUGUUUGCAGAAAUGCCAGCAGAGCCAUUAGUCUAGAGCCUUUUCAGCAGUCAGCAGACUGGACCGUGUGAGCAGCACAGAGAUGUGGAGAGACAAAGGAUCUGGUCUUAUAAAACUACACAACACAUUACUUUUCCUUAUUUAUUUUCUAUCACACAUUACUGUUCACUUCAGCUAUGAUUACCCUCCUCCAUUCUCCUCUUGUGAGCUACAGCCAGACAGGAUUGUGAUAGAUUUGAGGUUUAGAAAAGCACAUUUCUGAUGGGAUAUUGUGCUUUUUUAAAUAUUACUAUUGAGGUUUAGUCUGUCAUUUUAGAACCAUGCAUGCUUAAAUUAAAUUACAGCCCACUGGUGCCUCGAGCUGCUCUUUGCAUAGUGCAUUGUCUCUUGGGGAACAGCAGCAUCUGGUGGUCGACUGAGAAAAUCACUAAACGUUUCGUAACAUAAUUUUGACUCUUCUCUUUUUAGUCUCUGCUGAUUUAAGGAGGGUCAGAUGUUCUUGGCUUCCUCCUGCUUCAUGCUCACACUGUGACACUAGGUCAAAUACAGGCCAGGGAGCUGUUCCUUUGGAGGAUUCGAGGCAUUAUUAAAGGAACUUUGCCUGUAGCUGUUAAGGGCCUUUGUUGGUUUCUCCCGUUGACGUGUUUCUACAGACCAGAUGGCUUUACACAUAAAUCCUAUUAACAACUUUCUGCUGAAGGAGACACAAAAAUCUAUAGAAGCCAAAAAAGAAGAAAGAGGAGGCCAAUAGCACAGUAGAAGCCAAGUUGAACCGAACUGAGGCCAAACCCCAAAAAACAAAGACCAAGAAAAAGGAAGGU